AUUAGGAAUUGGCGGGGGAGCACCGCAACGGGAGGAGCGUGCGGUUCAAUUGGAUUCAACGCCGGACAACUCACCAGGAGCGACGGUUACAUGAAGGCCAGGCUGAUGACCUUGCCUGAUUUUCCGAGAGGUGGUGCAUGGCCGUCGUCGGUUCGUACCGUAAGGCGUUCUCUUAAGUGAGAUAACGAACGAGACCCUCACCGCUAAUUGCUAGUGUUCUCUCCGGAGGGCACGCACAUUAACGGGACCGCUGUCGCUAAGACAGAGGAAGGAGAGGUCAACGGUAGGUCCGUAUGCCCCGAAUCUCCUGGGCUACACGCGCGCUACAAAGGUUGGGACAAUGGGCUCCGACAUCGAAAGGUGAAGGCAAUCUCGAAACCCAAUCGUAGUUCGGAUUGAGGGUUGUAACUCACCCUCAUGAAGCUGGAUUCCGUAGUAAUCGCUUGUCAACAUCAAGCGGUGAAUAUGCCCCUGCUCCUUGCACCACACCGCCCGUCAAU
rnacentral:rRNA from 1 species